UUCUUCUUCAACGCACCACACCGCCGAUGUUGCCACUGCUCCAGCCCCUCCUUCUCGUCGCCACCGUCGUCGCCAACCGUCGCCCCUUUUGACUUCGUCGUCGCCAGCCGUCGCCCCUUUUGACUUCGUCGUCGCCAUCCGCCCCCAGCCGUCGCGUCACGUCGCAGCAAAAACUUCAACGGACGUCGCCUCGCCGCACCUGGUCGCCGGACGCUACGUUCUUAGCAGGUUGUCCUUGUUAUUGUAGAGCUUGCCAAGUCCUCAUUUUGAAGUCCUAGUGUCCUAUAAUGGAAGAAGAGAAGAAGAAGAGGAAAAAUAAGAAAAAGAAGAAUAAGUAGAAUAGAACCACAGAGAAUGUCUCGAGUGGUGCUGGACAAAUGGCUCCUCAUGAUCAGAACCAUGUUUCUGAAUCACAAGAGGAUACUACAGACACUGGAGAGAUGCAGAAUAAUGAUGCAACAAAAAUAGACAGGGAUCCAAAUAGACAUCUAUCUACCAAUCAUCCAACUUUAUUUAUCUGAAGGUGAUAAACAGUACUGGGUGGGCAGAGAGGUAAAGGCUAUUUAUGAAGAGAAGAUUAAGCAACUAGAGAAUGAGAAGAAUGUGCAUGUAUAGAAAGAGCCACACUGCUCUCUUUCAACUAAGAAAUCUGUAAAUGCAAAGUGUCGAAAGUACAGUUGUCAAAGCGCAUUGCUUUUUACGCCGUGGAUGUUAGAGAUUCUUGUGGUGAGAUUUUCAUUGAUUUGCAGAGCUACACCUAUUCUAAGGAAGCUAUUGCAGUCCCAUGGAAAGGUUUACCUUAGAGAAUGCCAAAGCUAUUCUUUGCUAUGAGAGGGGUAAAAUACUUUUCUUGAGUGGGCCCAAGGUGAGGUGGAUGAUAGAGAAAAAUGAGAGAGAAUGCAUUUUGAUCUCCUGCAAGGUGUCUAUGGCAGGGGUAGUGCUUGGUAUGCUGUUGAAAGAGAGCUUUAAAAUGAUAUAAAGGGAACUUAUGAGUUAAUACAUUUUGUUUCUUAAUUUUUCUCUCCUUGGCUUCCUUGGCUUCCUUGGCUUCAAUGUAAAUGUGGGAUUUCACUGUUGGGCAUAUAGUAUUUAUAGGAUAU